GGCGGCGUAGCCAAGUGGGAAGGCAGAGGUCUGCAAAACCUCUAUUCAGCGGUCCGAAUCCGCUCGCCGCCUCCA
rnacentral:tRNA from 1 species